AGUAUGUGGUAUCUGCGCUCUGCUGAAGCCAGUUCCUUCGGAAAAAGAGUUGGUAGCUCUUGAUCCGGCAAACCACCUCCGCUGGUAGCGGUGGUUUUUUUGU
rnacentral:antisense_RNA from 1 species